GAGUUUGAUCCUGGCUCAGAACGAACGCUGGCGGCAGGCCUCAAACAUGCAAGUCUAGGGGGCGUAGCAAUACGUCACCGGCGGACGGGUGCGUAACACGUGGGGAAUGUACUUACUGGUUCGGAACAACUCAGGGAAACUUGAGCUAAUACCGAAUGUGCCCGAAAGGGGAAAGAUUUAUCGCCAGUAAAUCAGCCCGCGUCCGAUUAGCUAGUUGGUGGGGUAAAGGCCCACCAAGGCGACGAUCGGUAGCUGUUCUGAGAGGAAGAUCAGCCACACUGGGACUGAGACACGGCCCAGACUCCUACGGGAGGCAGCAGUUGGGAAUCUUGGACAAUGGGGGAAACCCUGAUCCAGCCAUGCCGCGUGAGUGAUGAAGGCCUUCGGGUUGUAAACUACUUUCGUACGGGGACGAGUAAUGACGGUACCCGUACGAAGAAGACUCCGGCUAACUUCGUGCCAGCAGCCGCAGU
rnacentral:rRNA from 1 species